GAUGAAGAACGCAGCGAACUGCGAUAAGUAAUGUGAAUUGCAGAAUUCAGUGAAUCAUCGAGUCUUUGAACGCACAUUGCGCCCCCUGGCAUUCCGGGGGGCAUGCCUGUCCGAGCGUCAUUGCUGCCCUUCAAGCCCGGCUUGUGUGUUGGGUCGUCGUCCCCCCCGGGGGACGGGCCCGAAAGGCAGCGGCGGCACCGCGUCCGGUCCUCGAGCGUAUGGGGCUUUGUCACCUGCUCGAUUAGGGCCGGCCGGGCGCCAGCCGGCGUCUCAAACCUUCUAUUUUACCAGGUUGACCUCGGAUCAGGUAGGGAUACCCGCUGAACUUAAGCAUAUCAAUAAGCGGAGGA
rnacentral:misc_RNA from 1 species